UCCAGGGUAGCCGAGUGGACAAGUAACCUGCCCGGUAAGCAGAAGGGUGUGGGUUCGAUUCCCGCCCCUGGAC